ensembl:lncRNA
GGGAUCCUGCAGGAAUUUUGGAGGAUUCCACAGGAAUUUUGGGAUUCCCACACUGGAAUUUUGGGGGGAUCCCGCUGGAAUUUUGGGGAAUCCCACUGGAAUUUUGGGGGGAUCCCGCUGGAAUUCUGGGGGAUCCUGCUCAAAUUCUGGGAAAUCCCACUGGAAUUUUGGGGAAUCCCUCUGGAAUUCUGGGAAAUCCUGCUGGAAUUUUGGGGGAUCCCGCUGGAAUUCCAGGGGAUACUUCAGGAAUUCUGGGGGAUCCGGAUCAAAUUCUGGGAAAUCCCAGUGGAAUUUUGGAAAAUCACGCUGGAAUUCUGGGGGAUCCCACUGGAAUUGUGUGAAAUCCCACUGGAAUUUUGGGGGGAUCCUGCUGGAAUUUUGGGAAAUCCCACUGGAAUUCCAGGGGAUCCCACUGAAAUUUUGGAGGAUCCUGCUGGAAUUCCAGGGAAUCCCUCUGGAAUUCUGGGGGAUCCUGCUGGAAUUUUGGUAAAUCCGGCUGGAAUUCCAGCAGGAUCCCGGUUUGGCAUUCCCGGAUUAUUUCCAUGGUUUGGCGUUCCCGGAUUUCCCGCUCCGGGAUUUGUCCCUCGGGAUCGGGAGCAGCGACCCCGGAGCUGAGCGGGGGAUUUACACCAGAGGAGGGACCGGAUCCCGCACGGAUCGAGUCGGAAUUCCAUGUGGGAUCGAGUCGGAAUUCCAUGUGGGAAUGUGUUGGAAUUCCAUGUGGGAAUGUGUUGCAAUUCCAUGUGGGAACGCCGGGAUCCUGUGCGGGAAUGUUGGGAUCAGUGUGGGAAUUCUGGGAUCCAACAUGAGAAUUCUGGGAUCCCACAUGGGAAUGUCGGGAUCCGACGCGGGAAUGCCCAAAUUCCAUAUGGGAAUGUCAGGAUUCGAGUGGGAAGCCCCAAAUUCCGUGUGGGAAUUCUGGAAUCCUGUGUGGGAAUGUUGGGAUCCAACAUAAGAAUUCUGGGAUCCCGUGUGGGAAUGCCGAGAUCCCAUGUGGGAAGCCCCAAAUUCCGUGUGGGAAUGUCGGGAUCCCGUGUCAGAAUGUCAGGAUUUGUGUGGGAAUGCCCAAAUUCCAUAUGGGAAUGCCCAAAUUCCAUAGGGGAAUACCGAGAUCCCAUGUGGGAAUGCCGGGAUCCCAUAUGGGAAUGUCAGGAUCUGUGUGGGAAUGCUGAAAUUCCGUGUGGGAAUGCCGGGAUCCCCUGUGGGAGUGCUGGGAUCUGUGUGGGAACAGCGAAAUUCCAUGUGGGAACGCCGAAAUUCCGCGUGGGAGCACCAGGAUCUCGUGUGGGAGUGUCGGGAUCCCGGGUGGGAACACCGAAAUUCCGUGUGGGAAUGCCCAAAUUCCAUGUGGGAACGCCGAAAUUCCGUGUGAGAAUGUCGGGAUCCCCUGUGGGAGUGCCGGGAUCCGUGUGGGAAUGCCGAAAUUCCAUGUGGGAAUGCCCAAAUUCCAUGUGGGAAUGCCGAAAUUCCGUGCGGGAGCGGCCGUGUGCUCCCCACCUCCAGAUCUCCAUAAAACAUCGGAUCCGCCGCUUCCCGACUUUUCCGUCAUCCCGGAGGGGUUUGGGAAUCAACGGAGGGAUCCGACCCCGGGAACGGGGAUUGGGGCGGGAAUUGGGAGUUGGGAAUGGGAAUUGGGAUCCGGAGUUGGGAAUUGGGAUCUGGGAAUGGGAAUUGGGAAUUGGGAAUGGGAAUUGGGAUCUGGGAACGGGAAUUGGGAUCCAGAGUUGGGAAUUGGGAUCCGGGAACGGGAAUUGGGAUCUGGGAAAGGGAAUUGGGAUCCGGAGUUGGGAAUUGGGAUCCGGAGUUGGGAAUUGGGAUCCAGAGUUGGGAAUUGGGAUCCGGAGUCGGGAAUUGGGAUCUGGGAAUGGGAAUUGGGAAUGGGAAUGGGAAUUGGGAUCCGGAGUUGGGAAUUGGGAUCCAGAGUUGGGAAUUGGGAUCCAGAGUUGGGAAUUGGGAAUGGGAAUGGGAAUUGGGAUCUGGGAACAGGAAUUGGGAAUUGGGAACAGGAAUUGGGAUCUGGGAAUGGGAAUUGGGAUCUGGGAACGGGAAUUGGGAUCCGGAGUUGGGAAUUGGGAUCCGGAGUUGGGAAUUGGGAUCCGGCCCCGGGAAUUGGGAUCCGGAGUCGGGAAUUGGGGAAUGGGGAUGGGAAUUGGGAUCCAGAGUUGGGAAUUGGGAUCCGGGAAAGGGAAUUGGGAUCCGGAGUUGGGAAUUGGGAUCCGGGAAUGGAAAUUGGGAUCCGGAGUUGGGAAUUGGGAUCCAGAGUUGGGAAUUGGGGUCUGGGAAUGGGAAUUGGGAUCUGGGAAUGGGAAUUGGGAUCCGGAGUUGGGAAUUGGGAUCCGGGAAUGGAAAUUGGGAUCCGGAGUUGGGAAUUGGGAUCCAGAGUUGGGAAUUGGGGUCUGGGAAUGGGAAUUGGGAUCUGGGAAUGGGAAUUGGGAUCCGGAGUUGGGAAUUGGGAUCUGGGAAUGGGAAUUGGGAUCCGGAGUUGGGAAUUGGGAAUGGGAAUUGGGAGCUGGGAAUGGG